AGUAAUGUAUGGGGAUCUGCCCGAUAGAGGGGGGUAACUACUGGAAACGGUGGCUAAUACCGCAUAAUGUCUACGGACCAAAGCAGGGGCUCUUCGGACCUUGCACUAUCGGAUGAACCCAUAUGGGAUUAGCUAGUAGGUGGGGUAAAGGCUCACCUAGGCGACGAUCUCUAGCUGGUCUGAGAGGAUGAUUAGCCACACUGGGACUGAGACACGGCCCAG
rnacentral:rRNA from 1 species